rnacentral:misc_RNA from 1 species
AUCACCUGCAUUGCUCUCUCUGCUGCCUCCGCCUUCGCUUUCCUCUUCUUCUCCUCUGCUUCGUCUUCUUCUUCGACGCCUGCGCAGAAAUCUUCUCAUCUCGAAACAACAUCCCGUCCGUUAACAAAGCUUAAUCGCUCUGUGGUGCUCUUGAUUUCUUCCGAUGGGUUUAGGUUCGGGUAUCAAUUCAAGACUCCAACGCCCAACAUCCACCGUUUGAUCGCCAACGGGACUGAGGC